rnacentral:rRNA from 1 species
CCUACGGGUGGCAGCAGUGAGGAAUAUUGGUCAAUGGGCGCGAGCCUGAACCAGCCAAGUCGCGUGAGGGAAGACGGUCCUAUGGAUUGUAAACCUCUUUUGUCGGGGAGCAAAAGACGCCACGCGUGGCGUUCCGAGAGUACCCGAAGAAAAAGCAUCGGCUAACUCCGUGCCAGCAGCCGCGGUAAUACGGAGGAUGCGAGCGUUAUCCGGAUUUAUUGGGUUUAAAGGGUGCGCAGGCGGAAGAUCAAGUCAUCGGUAAAAUUGAGAGGCUCAACCUCUUCGAGCCGUUGCAACGGGUUUGCUUGAGUGAGUGAGAAGUAGGCGGAAGGGUGGGUGUGGCGGGGAAA